AGGCGGGGCGCCGCGGGACCGC
rnacentral:miRNA from 2 species